GAGUACCGGGUCCUUGGGCCCUACUCCCACCCUUUGUGUACCUACCGAUUUUUCGUUGCCUCGGCGGGGUCGAUCCCCAGGGCCUGCCCGGCCCUGUGGGGGACCCGCCGGGGGGACACGCCAAAACUCUUGUCAACAGUGACGUCUGAGAAAAAACAAACUAGUCAAAACUUUCAACAACGGAUCUCUUGGUUCU
rnacentral:misc_RNA from 1 species